rnacentral:rRNA from 1 species
GACAGAGGGGGCAAGCGUUGCUCGGAAUCACUGGGCGUAAAGGGCGCGUAGGCGGGAUGGCAAGUCAGUCGUGAAAUCUCUCGGCUCAACCGAGAAACGUCGGCUGAUACUGCCGUUCUUGAGGGAUGCAGAGGAGACUGGAAUUCCCGGUGUAGCGGUGAAAUGUGUAGAGAUCUGGAGGAACACCGAUGGUGAAGGCAGCCUUCUGGGCCAACACUGACGCUCAUGCACGAAAGCGUGGGGAGCAAACAGG